rnacentral:rRNA from 1 species
GACGAACGCUGGCGGCGUGCUUAACACAUGCAAGUCGAACGAUGAAGCCGGAGCUUGCUCUGGUGAAUUAGUGGCGAACGGGUGAGUAACACGUGAGUAACCUGCCCUUGACUCUGGGAUAACUGCGGGAAACUGUAGCUAAUACCGGAUACGACCCUCGGGGGCAUCUCCUGGGGGUGGAAAGAAUUUCGGUCAAGGAUGGACUCGCGGCCUAUCAGCUAGUUGGUGAGGUAAAGGCUCACCAAGGCGACGACGGGUAGCCGGCCGGAGAGGGUGACGGGCCACACUGGGACUGAGACACGGCCCAGACUCCUACGGGAGGCAGAAGUGGGGAAUAUUGCACAAUGGGCGCAAGCCUGAUGCAGCAACGCCGCGUGAGGGAUGACGGCCUUCGGGUUGUAAACCUCUUUUAGCAGGGAAGAAGCGAAAGUGACGGUACCUGCAGAAAAAGCACCGGCUAACUACGUGCCAGCAGCCGCAGUAA